CUUACGACUGUAUGACUGUAACCUUGUUGCUGGUAUCCUUAUGAUUUAUAUCGACUGUUUCCUAAUAUGAUUUGAUUGCUUAUUUGUACCCUAUGACUAUCACUAAGUGUUCUACCUUAUGAUUCUUGACGAAUGUAUCUUUUCUUUUAUGUACACUGAGAACGUAUGAGUUGUGGUCCGCCAGCAGCCUGCGGAGCUGGCAACAGAGUCGGACAGCGAUGAGGCUGAGGUAGACAAUGACAUCUUCAUCAAACUCAUAGAUUUCAGUUUUUAAUCAACAAACUGAGCCACAUGGAUGUGUACUUUCUGACCUUUCCUUCUGAUUGAUCAAGAGCCAAUUGAAAGACUGGGAACUGGUAAAUUUCAUUAAGCCGAACUUCAGAGUCUGUCAUGCAGACAUCCUUCCAAAAAUAUAUCAUCACUGUUCAUCAUCACCAAUUUUGCUACAGCCUCAGAACAAUACAUCCAAAGCUCUUCAUAUGAAAAUUAAUGAUGGAUUUGGGGGAUAUAAUUUAACAGUGCCUUAACAUCUUUAAACUUCCUCCCAAGGAGCUAAUUCAAUUUUAUUACAUCUCCAAAUGUCUUUCAAGCAUCUGUUGGGAAGUCCAAUAUACACAAAGAAUUGUUUGCUGUUGCAGCUGAAUUAACCAGGAAACAUAUUUAUCAUUUCUUAAAUCUCCAGGCCAUUGGUUUUGCCAUAAAAAAUGUUCACAUUCCUUAUUCCAAACAGCUUAUAUAUAUAUAUUAUCCAAUUUUUGUAAUUUUUUUAAAACCUGUUGAUUGUUGGUUUAAUGAUUGUUAAUUUAACCUCUAUGAAAAAUUUCUCCAAUAUACCUAUUCAAAGUUAGUGGGAUUUGAAAAGUUAGUCCCUGAAAGUUUUGUCACCAGCAAGAACACUUCUUACCAAUGGCUCUCAAAUUCAUUCCUUCCUUCCUUCCUUCCUUCCUUCCUUCCUUCCUUCCUUCCUUCCUUCCUUCCUUCCUUCCUUCCUUCCCUCCCUCCAUGCCAGGGAGAUCAAGGUUGCAGCGUUAAUAAUUCUGAGAAGUUCACUUGGGUUUUUUCUGGAUUAUGUUUGUGAAAAGUGUUUGAACUGAGAAAGUUCUUAGAGCUAUUUAUUUUCUUUGAGCCCAUGGAAGGCUCCUCUUUGUGCUAACAGCAGAAAGUGAAGGCAUCUAUAUUUUUCUACAUUUCAGAUCACUUCGUUACCAAAGAAAACUGCACCAGUCCCACAAUGCACAUUUUACUAAAUGCCUUAAUCACCUUCAUGAUUAAGGGGCCGGAAUAGCUCAGGCUGUUAGAGCCUGUUAUUAGAACACAGUAGCCUGCAAUUACUGCAGGUUCAAGCCCGGCCCAAGGUUGACUCAGCCUUCCAUCCUUUAUAAGGUAGCCUUCCAUCCUUUAUAAGGUAGGUAAAAUGAGGACCCAGAUUGUUGGGGGGGCAAUAAGUUGACUUUGUAAAAAUAUACAAAUAGAAUGAGACUAUUGCCUUAUACACUGUAAGCCGCCCUGAGUCUUCGGAGAAGGGCGGGAUAUAAAUGUAAACAAAAAAAAAUAAUUAUGUGUCAUCAAAUCAGCGACCACUUACACAGAUUUUCUCCAUGAUAAUCUAGCCACAAUUUGGCCCUUCAGGUCUUCCCAUGGGGCACCCAUCGCUAUUCUAACAGAGCCUUCUAUCUUGCACCAUUAUCAUGGAAGUUUACAACUAUAAAAUUUGUUUACCACAGGCAACAACAUAGUUACCAUUAUGCCGAUGUUACCAAUGUAAUAAAAAUUCUUUAUUAGUAAAAUAUCAUACUUUAUAUCCAUAACAUAAACGUAAGUCCUACUUUAUUGAGUAAAGUUGUGUGAAGUCAGUUCUCUUACUAAUAUUAAAAAUUCUUUACUUUUCACUGA